AUACGUAGGGAGCGAGCGUUGUCCGGAUUUACUGGGUGUAAAGGGUGCGUAGGCGGCUCUGCAAGUCAGGUGUGAAAACCAUCGGCUUAACUGAUGGACUGCAUUUGAAACUGUGGGGCUUGAGUGGAGUAGAGGCAGACGGAAUUCCCGGUGUAGCGGUGAAAUGCGUAGAGAUCGGGAAGAACACCAGUGGCGAAGGCGGUUUGCUGGGCUCUAACUGACGCUGAGGCACGAAAGCAUGGGUAGCAAACAGGAUUAGAUACCCUGGUAGUCCAUGCCGUAAACGAUGAUUACUAGGUGUGGGGAGUCUGACCCUCUCCGUGCCGGAGUUAACACAAUAAGUAAUCCACCUGGGAAGUACGGUCGCAAGACUGAA
rnacentral:rRNA from 1 species